AGCUCCGAUAGCGUAUAUUAAAGUUGUUGCAGUUAAAAAGCUCGUAGUUGAACUUCUAUGUAUUUGUUAGUCGCCUUUAUGGUUUGAUUGACUUUGCAUAUCCCCUUUGGCUUAACAGCACGCACUUCGAUGGGCGGUUGCGUAGCCAAGGAAUUUACUUUGAAAAAAUUAGAGUGUUUCAGGCAGGCGAAUUGCUGGAAUACAUUAGCAUGGAAUAAUAGAACACGACCUCUGUAUUCAAUUGGUAUUUUGGUGGGAGGUAAUGAUUAACAGGGACAGUUGGGGGCAUUAGUAUUGUAUUGUCAGAGGUGAAAUUCAUUGAUUAAUGCAAGACUAACUUAUGCGAAAAGCAUUUGCCAAGGAUGUUUUCA
rnacentral:rRNA from 1 species